rnacentral:rRNA from 1 species
CCUACGGGAGGCAGCAGUGGGGAAUAUUGGGCAAUGGGCGCAAGCCUGACCCAGCAACGCCGCGUGAAGGAAGAAGGCUUUCGGGUUGUAAACUUCUUUUAUGAGGGACGAAACACAUGACGGUACCUCAUGAAUAAGCCACGGCUAACUACGUGCCCGCAGCCGCGGUAAUACGUAGGUGGCAAGCGUUAUCCGGAUUUACUGGGUGUAAAGGGCGUGUAGGCGGGACUGCAAGUCAGAUGUGAAAAUUAUGGGCUCAACCCAUAACCUGCAUUUGAAACUGUAGUUCUUGAGUGAGGGAGAGGCAGGCGGAAUGCCGGGUGUAGCGGUGAAAUGCGGAGAUAUACGGAGGAACACCAGUGGCGAAGGCGGCCUGCUGGACAGUAACUGACGCUGAGGCGCGAAAGCGUGGGGAGCAAACAGGAUUAGAUACCCUAGUAGUC